ACUGUCAUUGCCACAGAACAGGACCACAUGGAGUCCUCCUCCAUCACGGCCUCAGAUUCUCCGAUCGGACGCGGUCACUGCCAAAUAAAUCGAUGAAAACUGCCAAAUAAAUCGAUGAAAACUUCCUGUGCCCCCACUGCUGUUUUUACUUGUGCCAGAUACUUCCAUUAUUGUGCCAGCUGGGCCUAACAAAGUUGGUUGGAUCCUCUCUUUCCUUGUGGGAGAGAGGUCCCAAGUUCCAAUGCAAUGCCGUGGUACUUGCAAUAGGGCCUGCCACAGCCGUGCAGCGGGGAAACAGAAUAUAGCGGAUGCUGCUGACGAAGGACUUCAGAGUGCACGGUCAAAUGCAGCUAGGGCCGUUGGGUAAUUGAAUGAAGCGAAAUUCUUUGCACACCGCAUGCGGUGUAAGAAAUUCGAGCUGAUCCGCCGCGCCUCCUCUUAUUGAUCCAUACGGAUCCGAGCUGGCAUGAUCGCACGAGACAUGGCCUACGUUAAAUGUCGGUACAAUGGUUGGGAGUGCGGCAUCUAUUAUCAAUGUGACGUAUAUUAAUAUCCGGUAUGGUAUCAGGAGACAGACGACGAUGUUCGCAUUCGCAGUCUACCUUGGAGGUUGAGAUGCCUUCACCGACUUCCACUGCCGCACUAGCUUCGUCACCAGAGGGUCCAGCAUUGGCAGGUCCCAGUGGGGCAGGUCCGAGUGAGUCUCCACCAGUAAUGAGGCAAGGACAAGGUCCAUCGAAGAACCUCGCUCUAGAGCGUUGGAGAUGCGAGCACCCGAGACAGCAUCUCUGUAUUGAGAUACCAUCUGACUACACCAAGCCCAUUAGGGGAUAGUGCGAGCCGUGGCAG